rnacentral:rRNA from 1 species
GAUGAACGCUCGCUACAGGCUUAACACAUGCAAGUCGAGGGGAAACGGCAUUGAGUGCUUGCACUCUUUGGACGUCGACCGGCGCACGGGUGAGUAACGCGUAUCCAACCUUCCCAUUACUGUGGGAUAACCUGCCGAAAGGCAGACUAAUACCGCAUAGUCUUCGAUGACGGCAUCAGAUUUGAAGUAAAGAUUUAUCGGUAAUGGAUGGGGAUGCGUCUGAUUAGCUUGUUGGCGGGGUAACGGCCCACCAAGGCUACGAUCAGUAGGGGUUCUGAGAGGAAGGUCCCCCACAUUGGAACUGAGACACGGUCCAAAAUCCUACGGGAGGGAGGAGUGAGGAAUAUUGGGCAAUGGACGGAAGUCUGAACCAGCCAAGUAGCGUGCAGGAGGACGGCCCUAUGGGUAGUAAACUGCUUUUGUAUGGGGAUAAAGUUAGGGACGUGUCCCUAUUUGCAGGUACCAGACGAAUAAGGACCGGCUAAUUCCGUG